UAUGGAGGUCCUGGUUCAGUCUCUGCUGGAUCUAGACGUGAGGGACAGCCAGGGGCGCACCCCUCUGGACCUGGCUGCCUUAAAAGCCUUGUGGAGUGUGUUGACGUCCUCAUCAACCAGGAAGCCUCCAUCCUGGUUAAAGACUUCACUCUGAAGAGGACCCCCAUCCACGCUGCAGCAACCAACGGACAUUCGGAGUGUUUGCGUUUGCUGAUUGGAAAUGCUGACAUCCAGAAACCCCUCUGAUGCUGUCGGUGCUGAGCGGACACAGACUGUGUGUACUCCCUGUUCAACAAGGGAGCAAGCGUAGAAGCCAAAGACAAAUGGCACAGAACAGCUCUACACAGAAGGGUUGUGAGGAGAGUUGGCUGUACGCGCUCACACACAGAAAGAGAGGGGGAGGCUUGUUCUGAUCUAGGGAUGGGGCCAUUGAAAUACUAGGGAUGGCUUUGGUGUGGGAUCUAGCAUGGAAUAUAAAUUAUGCCCAAAUAUACCUAUUAUGAUUCCUUAUUAUUUAAUUGAUUAUAAAUUAUUCAAAUCCAUUCUUGUCUCCCCUCCCUUCCCUUCCUCC